AUUUAAAUAAUUUAAUUAAAAUAUUGAUUUGUGGGGUCGAAAAUAUGAUAAGUAUCAUUUUAAAUU
rnacentral:tRNA from 1 species